UACGUAGGUUGCAAGCGUUACCCGGUUUUAUUGGGCGUAAAGCGUCUGUCGGUGGUUUUUCAAGUCUUAUUUCAAAGACCCCAGCUUAACUGGGGAAAGGGGUAGGAGACUGAAAGACUGGAGUCAUAUCGGAGUUACUGGAAUUUGUAGUGUAGGGGUAAAAUCCGUGGAUACUACAAAGAACACCAAGCGCGAAGGCGGGUAACUAGGUAUGUACUGACACUCAGAGACGAAAGCUAGGGAAG
rnacentral:rRNA from 1 species